rnacentral:rRNA from 1 species
CCCGCUCAGAAACUCAAAUGAAUUGACGGGGGCCCGCGACAAGCGGAGGAGCAUGUGGUUAAUUCGAUGAUACGCGAGGAACCUUACCUGGGCUCGAACGUAAGAUGACUGUAGGUGAAAGCUUACAUCUCUUCGGAGCAUUUUACGAGGUGCUGCAUGGUUGUCGUCAGCUCGUGCCGUGAGGUGUCGGGUUAAGUCCCAUAACGAGCGCAACCCCUACCUUUAGUUGCCAUCAGGUUAAGCUGGGGACUCUAAAGGAACUGCCUACGCAAGUAGUGAGGAAGGCGGGGAUGACGUCAAAUCAGCACGGCCCUUACGUCCAGGGCUACACACGUGCUACAAUGGCCGAUACAGAGGGCAGCUACCUGGUGACAGGAUGCAAAUCUCCAAAGUCGGUCUCAGUUCGGAUCGGAGUCUGCAACCCGACUCCGUGAAGUUGGAUUCGCUAGUAAUCGCGCAUCAGCCAUGGCGCGGUGAAUACGUUCCCGGGCCUU